UUGGGCCUACGGGGCGCAGCAGUUAGGAAUAUUCGUCAAUGGGGGAAACCCUGAACGAGCAAUGCCGCGUGAAGGAUGACGGUCCUAUGGAUUGUAAACUUCUGUUGUUAGGGAAGAACGACCUGUAUAGGAAAUGAUACGGGAGUGACGGUACCUUUCAAGAAAGCUCCGGCUAACUACGUGCCAGCAGCCGCGGUAAUACGUAGGGGGCGAGCGUUAUCCGGAUUUAUUGGGUGUAAAGGGUGCGUAGGCGGUUUAAUAAGUCUAUGGUUUAAGUCCGAAGCUUAACUUCGGUUCGCCAUAGA
rnacentral:rRNA from 1 species